rnacentral:lncRNA from 1 species
UAUGUGUUUAUAGAAGACGAGAGAAUGAUAGGAGAGAUUCAAAAAGAGAGCUCGGAUUGUAGCUGCUCUAUGCAGAAGAGGAGUCAGGUGUAAUCUUCUCUUAUUUAAUGAAUCUUAUUUUACUCGCAUAUUUUCUGUUUGGUUGUUUUCUCUCUUUUAUGAUUGUAUAAGCUUCUGCUGAGGAGACGGAUUUAUAUUAAAAAUCUGAUUCGACGCUUCCGUUGCGGAAUCCCAACAAUCGGUACCGGAUCAACAACAAUCGGUAUUUGAGCGGGUUGCGAAUUCUCAAAAUUCGGUACCAGGGUGAGUACCAGAUUCCCAACAAUUGGUAUCAGUGCUUAAGGUUACCGAUCUGCAGG